rnacentral:rRNA from 1 species
GAUGAACGCUGGCGGCGUGCCUAAUACAUGCAAGUCGAGCAAACGGACGAGAAGCUUGCUUCUCUGAUGUUAGCGGCGGACGGGUGAGUAACACGUGGAUAACCUACCUAUAAGACUGGGAUAACUUCGGGAAACCGGAGCUAAUACCGGAUAAUAUUUUGAACCGCAUGGUUCAAAAGUGAAAGACGGUCUUGCUGUCACUUAUAGAUGGAUCCGCGCUGCAUUAGCUAGUUGGUAAGGUAACGGCUUACCAAGGCAACGUUGCAUAGCCGACCUGAGAGGGUGAUCGGCCACACUGGAACUGAGACACGGUCCAGACUCCUACGGGAGGCAGCAGUAGGGAAUCUUCCGCAAUGGGCGAAAGCCUGACGGAGCAACGCCGCGUGAGUGAUGAAGGUCUUCGGAUCGUAAAACUCUGUUAUUAGGGAAGAACAUAUGUGUAAGUAACUGUGCACAUCUUGACGGUACCUAAUCAGAAAGCCACGGCUAACUACGUG